GGCAGCGGAGCAGCCUAGACCUGGGUAACAAUGUGGCCAGGCUGACUCUGGUGUGAAGUGAUUAAUUUGAAAACAGUGAAGUUAAACAGCUGUACGUGGCUUCCUGGUUGUUGGCUUCUGUCAGUUUUUAUAUCCACUCUGCAGCUGUCAGCGUGUAAGGAGUGAUUUGGGGGAUGGAGAGUGCUCCUAACUGUGGGAGAAUAAGACACCAGGAGCUCUGAUGACCAGAGAAGAGCCUUGAGAAUUAAGAUCAGGCAAAUGCCAAAGAGAUGAUCAGGGCCACGUUCUGAAAAGCAGCCACUUCCCUAGUGCCAACCAAUGGAACUGUUAUUUUUGGCUGUACCACCACAGGAAAAACCUGAUCAAAGCUGGAGCACAAGUUAAUGACUGAGCACUAGAGGAGAGGAUGAGAGAAACGGCCUGUAACUUCUCAGGGCAGCAUCUCGAACCUUCUGCCAAA
rnacentral:lncRNA from 1 species